AUGGACUGGACCUGGAGAAUUCUCUUCCUGGUGACAGUGGCUUCAGGUGUGAACUCCCAGAUACAGCUGGUACAGUCAGGGGCUGAGGUGAGAAAGCCUGGGACAUCAGUGAAGAUCUCCUGCAAGGCAUCCGGAUACACCUUCACCAGCAACUGGAUGUACUGGGUGCGACAGGCCCCGGGACAAGGGCUUGAGUGGAUGGGAAGGAUAUACCCUGGUGAUGGUGAUACAAGCUAUGCACAAAAGUUCCAGGGAAGAGUCACUAUCACUGCAGACAAGUCCAAGGACACAGCCUACAUGGAACUGAGCAGGCUGAGCACUGAGGACAUGGCCGUGUAUUACUGUGCGAGAAACACAGGUUACUGGGCAGAUUACAAGAUUCAUCCAUGCAUUUUGAAAAAUGUUACCAAAUUUUGCAAAAUGAUCAAUUUACAAAAAGUGAACAAAACCCUUCCCAAAGACAGAGAAAAUGUCCAUAUCUGA